ensembl:lncRNA
GGGGUUUUUAGAGCGGGAUUCCUCCUGGAGCCAUUGUUUCAUGUAAAAAAAAAACAAGUGUGCCAAAUGUCUGCCCAUGUCACUCAACUCAUAAUUGAGUGCCACGCCCACAUUCCAUAUGUGAAGCCCGUGGAAGAUGAAACAAGACACACACUCAUUGGUGUUCUUGACCGGAGGGCUUUGGAUUCUUCCAGUACAUUGAAAGCAAUGCAUUACUAAUUACAAUGGAAAUGUCCGUGAAUGCAGACUGUUGUACUGAAUAUUCCUUUAGCUUCGUGAAAGUGGUCACAGGGCCGUAAUGUUGUUAAAAUCAUACAUAAAGGGAUUCAAACGUAGACUGAGUCGUAGCCAUCGCAUGGCAACUCUCUACCACACAUCAAUGUUAGGACCUUUGUGACCGUCUCGUUGGAGGGCUCAGCGUUGGGUUGUGUGUGUUGCAAUGCAAAAACUAGAAAAACCACAGCAUAUCCUCCUCUAAUGGCUGGUUUUGAAUCCCCUUUGCAUGUCCGAUGUGCCCGGUGCACCACACUUUGCUCUUAUGCUGCCUCCUCAGUAAACACACAGCUUUACUGCACCACCGCCGCUCUGCAGGGCUCGCCCGUUCUAAUUCUUAAAUCCUCUUUGUGAAAAUGAGGCGCUGCCCAUGAUGGAAAGACAGGCCGUCGGAUUACAGCCUAGUUCACUGAGAGGGAGAGAGAAGAGGUAGGUGAGAGAGAGAGAGAGAGAGAGAGAGAGAGAGAGAGAGAGAGAGAGAGAGAGAGAGAGAGAGAGAGAGAGAGAGAGAGAGAGAGAGAGAGAGAGAGAAGGAGAGAGAGAUAAAGAGAGCGGAAGAGAAAGAGAAUGAGUGAGAUGGGACAAAAAAGUGUGAGUGCUUCAUGGAAUACCCGGUAGGACAAAAGCUCACACUCCAUUAACUUCCAGAGGAGCCCCCCUCCCCUGGGCACUGCCUCUUUCCUAUAAAAAGAACCCAUCCACACAACAACAUAUAUUCAUUCCAUGACUGUACGCAAGCUCCCCCCCUCCACCACUAUACGUCCAUGACCACAGAGCCCCUGAGGAAUGACAUGUCACUUGAGAUGCUUAUUGAAGAACCCACCAGGACAGCAGAGCAUCAUCGCACGGCAACCUCUCCACCGCUCUCCACCCGACAACAAGGCAGCGCUCCGGGCAUCGCUCCCCCCCCCCGGCGGCCUCUCGGCGGGCAGGUCUCCGUGGCGACGCCCUGCGAGGACACGCCUCAACGGGGGCCGGUUGCAGGCGUCCUUAUCUUUGUUUGGCGCAGUGGUGGUGAGGGGGUGGGCCAAAGGAGGAGGAGAGGAGUGGAGCCUGCGAGGCUGCGACCGGCAUCACAACAACAACACGCGAUGGAGGGCCACGGGUACCAGCACUUUGCGCCGGGCGGAGGGGGGGAGACCUACCAUGUGGACUACCGGAGGAUCGUGGGGGACCUGGAGCCCCCCGAGGGCCAGCCCCUCGCCCCAGGUAGGGGAGGGGUGCGCCCGGCAGACCGCCACCACGCAUGGCCACGAGACGGCGGCGCAGAGAUACAGCGCCACGCGGAUCCAGGUCGGACUGGGACCUGUGAGGUGAGCCCAUGUUCGCAAGGACAAGAGUGACCGUGUGUAGACC